AGAGCGGCGGACGGGUGAGUAACACGUGGACAAUCUGCCCCCCGGCCCGGGAUAGCCCAGGGAAACCUGGAUUAAUACCGGAUGAGACGGGACCUGCGAUGGCGGGAUCCGGGAAAGGCGCUACGGCGCCGCCGGGGGAUGAGUCUGCGUCCCAUUAGCUAGACGGCGGGGUAACGGCCCACCGUGGCGACGAUGGGUAGCCGGCCUGAGAGGGUGGACGGCCACAUUGGAACUGAGACACGGUCCAGACUCCUACGGGAGGCAGCAGCUAAGAAUCUCCGCAAUGGGCGAAAGCCUGACGGAGCGACGCCGACGUGAACGAAGAAGGCCGUGAGGUUGUAAAGUUCUUUUCGGGAGGGGGAACAACCGUGGCAGGGAAUGGCCGCGGGAUGACGUGAAUCCCGGAAUAAGCCCCGGCUAACUACGUGCCAGCAGCUGC
rnacentral:rRNA from 1 species